AAGCCACUCAACUUUUACAAAUCUCAGUUGGGGCAGUUUACAUCAUCUACUACAUAAAUGGGUUUGUUUCAUUCGCUAUAAUGCCUCCUGGCUGUAGCGUUUUUCCAGUUUUACUACUUAAAGUGAACGCCGAGCUCGUUCGAGUCGAUUCGGAGACACAGAGGGAUUCUCGGCCAUGUACAGUGGGUCCGGUGAUGGCGAGAGCCAUGAGGCCGUGCGGAGGAAAAUCCCGCCUGAUUCAUCGAUGCCUUGAUCCGAAACCUCUGCCGGUUCAUCGGUUCCGGUGCCGGACUUAGAUCCUAAGCCUUAAUGGGGAUGUACACCAGAAAUGGAUCGAUGGUGGGAACUAUGAAUUGUAUAUCGAGGAUGGAAUUUGGGAUAUGAUCAAGACAGCUGACUGGCUAAUGAUUACACUGGUCGCCCUGUUUGGAUUAGAGAUAAAUUGAGAUAUUUUUAGAUGAGUUGAAUAAAAUAUUGUUAGAAUAUUAUUUUUAAUAUUAUUAUUGUUUUGAGAUUUGAAAAA